rnacentral:rRNA from 1 species
GACGAACGCUGGCGGCGUGCUUAACACAUGCAAGUCGAACGGAAAGGCCCUGCUUUUGUGGGGUGCUCGAGUGGCGAACGGGUGAGUAACACGUGAGUAACCUGCCCUGGACUUUGGGAUAACUUCAGGAAACUGGGGCUAAUACCGGAUAGGAGCUCCUGCUGCAUGGUGGGGGUUGGAAAGUUUCGGCGGUUGGGGAUGGACUCGCGGCUUAUCAGCUUGUUGGUGGGGUAGUGGCUUACCAAGGCUUUGACGGGUAGCCGGCCUGAGAGGGUGACCGGCCACAUUGGGACUGAGAUACGGCCCAGACUCCUCCGGGAGGCAGCAGUGGGGAAUAUUGCACAAUGGGCGGAAGCCUGAUGCAGCAACGCCGCGUGCGGGAUGACGGCCUUCGGGUUGUAAACCGCUUUCGCCUGUGACGAAGCGUGAGUGACGGUAAUGGGUAAAGAAGCACCGGCUAACUACGUG